GGUUGGAUGGCCGAGCGGUCUAAGGCGCCAGAUUCAGGUUCAGCUUCGUUGCGAAGCACCGUUUCUCGAUUUGUAAUCAGAUUUCUGGUCAUUAAUUUGGCGUGGGUUCGAAUCCCACUCCAAUCA